ACCGCCAGUUAAAACGUCCAACCACGAGGGACCAUCCUGGGUGGAGAUACAGGACCCACCCUCGGCAUUUGCCAAUAUAUAGCCAGGGAGCUGCCUGCCAGCUACAGAUCUCCACAGGGAGCCUGCCUGGCUCGGAGAACACAGCCAUGGCCCAGGUCCUGAUGAUCCUAGCUCUCGGCACCGUCCUGACCAACGUGACCCAGGACAUACCGUUGCCUUGGCCUUGGAACCCAGAUCUGUGCCACGUCUUUGGGUGCCAGGAGGCGGUGAAGCAGGAACUAUGCGGGACUGACUUCUAUAAUAUCCAGACCCAUGUUUGCUGCAUGAACACGACAUACUGGAAGGUGAUGGAAAAACCCAGCCCGACUUACGACUGCUGCGGGUUCAAAGUCUACGAUCAGAAAACGCAGGAGUGCGGCGAAGACCUCAGCAUAAAGCCAAAGCGGAACAACAAACGAAAGAGCAAGAAAGCCUGUCCCCACAGCCCAGCUGCGGAGAGAUCCGGCUCUCUCUCAGCGGCGCCGGGUGGAAAGAGUAAGUAGGAAUUCCCGGAGAGAGGAAAACUUGGUUACUCCAGUCCCAGCCUCUCCCAGCAGGGGGCGCUGUGGGGAGCCUGGUUUAGUUCCCCGGUGUCUGCCCUCCAGACGCCCACCAACCACACUGAUCUCGGCACGUGCUGACCCAGGGCCCCACAGCCGUGGUCAGCUACUCGCUGUACAACCUGUCGCCCCAGAGGGCCUCUGGCACCCAGGGCCUCGCGGGGCUGCCUCUCUUGAGACGAGAAAUCGAGGGGGAGCUGCAGGCUCAGGAAUCCCCACGCCCCCCUUUCCAGUGGGCUUGUGCCCAAGAAGCCCUGUCCAUCUGCUUCCUCUCUCGGGAUCAGACACCUGGCUUCUCCCCCUGGCUCUUCGCUGCCCACCCCCACCACUUGCAGACGGGGAAAUCUUUCAAGCCCCACUAGUUGUGAUGUGUCAUGAGGCCUUGGACCAGGGGUCGGCAACCUUUCAGAAGUGGUGUGCCGAGUCUUCAUUUCUUCACUCUAAUUUAAGGUUUCGCGUGCCAGUCAUACAUUUGAACGUUUUUAGAAGGUCUCUUUCUAUACGUCAAUAAUAUAGAACUAAACUAUUGUUGUAUGUAAAGUAAAUAAGGUUUUUAAAAUGUUUAAGAAGCUUCAUUUAAAAUUAAAUUAAAAUGCAGAGCCCCCCGGACCGGUGGCCAGGACCCGGGCAGUGUGAGUGCCACUGAAAAUCAGCUCGUGUGCCGCCUUCGGCACGCGUGCCAUAGGUUGCCGACCCCUGCCUUGGACGGUCACCUCCAUUGUCAGAAGCUCUUUUUCCGACAUAAAGGGGCUUGAUUGCUCCUGCGGUGGAGCCUGAGGGAGGAUGUGUGGCUCAGCACUGGCUUUAAUGAGGGCUGUGAUGGUCUUGAGGUCUCAGCCACUUCCAGCACGCUGGACGCAACUGACUUCUCGGCACGUAUCCCAGCACCACCGCCAACCGCAGAUGGCUGGGAAAGCUGGGGGGGCGGGGGGAGAUCUGCCAU
rnacentral:lncRNA from 1 species